GAUGAACGCUGGCGGCGUGCCUAAUACAUGCAAGUCGAGCGAACGGACGAGAAGCUUGCUUCUCUGAUGUUAGCGGCGGACGGGUGAGUAACACGUGGAUAACCUACCUAUAAGACUGGGAUAACUUCGGGAAACCGUAGCUAAUACCGGAUAAUAUUUUGAACCGCAUGGUUCAAAAGUGAAAGACGGUCUUGCUGUCACUUAUAGAUGGAUCCGCGCUGCAUUAGCUAGUUGGUAAGGUAACGGCUUACCAAGGCAACGAUGCAUAGCCGACCUGAGAGGGUGAUCGGCCACACUGGAACUGAGACACGGUCCAGACUCCUACGGGAGGCAGCAGUAGGCAAUCUUCCGCAAUGGGCGAAAGCCUGACGGAGCAACGCCGCGUGAGUGAUGAAGGUCUUCGGAUCGUAAAACUCUGUUAUUAGGGAAGAACAUAUGUGUAAGUAACUGUGCACAUCUUGACGGUACCUAAUCAGAAAGCCACGGCUAACUACGUG
rnacentral:rRNA from 1 species